AGUGAACGCUGGCGGUAGGCCUAACACAUGCAAGUCGAACGGCAGCACAGUAAGAGCUUGCUCUUACGGGUGGCGAGUGGCGGACGGGUGAGGAAUACAUCGGAAUCUACUUUUUCGUGGGGGAUAACGUAGGGAAACUUACGCUAAUACCGCAUACGACCUACGGGUGAAAGCAGGGGAUCUUCGGACCUUGCGCGAUUGAAUGAGCCGAUGUCGGAUUAGCUAGUUGGCGGGGUAAAGGCCCACCAAGGCGACGAUCCGUAGCUGGUCUGAGAGGAUGAUCCGCCACACUGGAACUGAGACACGGCCCAGACUCCUACGGGAGGCAGCAGUGGGGAAUAUUGGACAAUGGGCGCAAGCCUGAUCCAGCCAUACCGCGUGGGUGAAGAAGGCCUGCGGGUUGUAAAGCCCUUUUGUUGGGAAAGAAAAGCAGCAGGUUAAUACCCCGCUGUUCUGACGGUACCCAAAGAAUAAGCACCGGCUAACUUCGU
rnacentral:rRNA from 1 species